rnacentral:rRNA from 1 species
CUGUAAGCCUGCGAAGGUGUACUGUGAGGUAUGCUGGAGGUAUCAGAAGUGCGAAUGCUGACAUAAGUAACGAUAAAGCGGGUGAAAAGCCCGCUCGCCGGAAGACCAAGGGUUCCUGUCCAACGUUAAUCGGGGCAGGGUGAGUCGACCCCUAAGGCGAGGCCGAAAGGCGUAGUCGAUGGGAAACAGGUUAAUAUUCCUGUACUUGGUGUUACUGCGAAGGGGGGACGGAGAAGGCUAUGUUGGCCGGGCGACGGUUGUCCCGGUUUAAGCGUGUAGGCUGGUUUUCCAGGCAAAUCCGGAAAAUCAAGGCUGAGGCGUGAUGACGAGGCACUACGGUGCUGAAGCAACAAAUGCCCUGCUUCCAGGAAAAGCCUCUAAGCAUCAGGUAACAUCAAAUCGUACCCCAAACCGACACAGGUGGUCAGGUAGAGAAUACCAAGGCGCUUGAGAGAACUCGGGUGAAGGAACUAGGCAAAAUGGUGCCGUAACU